UCUACGGGAGGCAGCAGUAGGGAAUCUUCCGCAAUGGACGAAAGUCUGACGGAGCAACGCCGCGUGAGUGAUGAAGGGUUUCGGCUCGUAAAACUCUGUUAUUAGGGAAGAACAAAUGUGUAAGUAACUGUGCACAUCUUGACGGUACCUAAUCAGAAAGCCACGGCUAACUACGUGCCAGCAGCCGCGGUAAUA
rnacentral:rRNA from 2 species